rnacentral:rRNA from 1 species
GACGAACGCUGGCGGCGCGCUUAACACAUGCAAGUCGAACGGAAAGGCCUGCUUUCCCUUGUGGAUUGCGGGUACUCGAGUGGCGAACGGGUGAGUAACACGUGAGUGAUCUGCCCCCAACUUGGGUAUAAGCCUGGGAAACUGGGUCUAAUUCCCGAUAGGACUGCAGGGUGGUGCCUGUGGUGGAAAACGAUUUUCUAGUGGUUGGGGAUGAGCUCGCGGCCUAUCAGCUUGUUGGUGGGGUAAUGGCCUACCAAGGCGGCGACGGGUAGCCGGCCUGAGAGGGUGGGCUGCCGCAUUGGGACGAAGAUAUGGCCCAGACUCCUACGGGAAGCAGCAGCGGGGAAUAUUGCAGAAUGAGCGGCAGCCUGAUGCAGCGACGCCGCGUGGGGGAUGACGGCCUGCGGGUUGUAAACUCCUUGCGACCGCGGGGGAGCCACAUGGUUGGAAGGGUGGUGACGGUAGUGGUAGAAGAAGCACCGGCUAACUACGUG